rnacentral:rRNA from 1 species
AACGCGAAGAACCUUACCUGGGCUCGAAAUGUAGAGGACGAUAUCAGAGAUGAUAUUUCCCGAAAGGGUCUCUAUAUAGGUGCUGCAUGGCUGUCGUCAGCUCGUGCCGUGAGGUGUUUGGUUAAGUCCAGCAACGAGCGCAACCCUUAUCGUUAGUUGCCAACACGUGAAGGUGGGAACUCUAACGAGACUGCCUGGGUUAACCAGGAGGAAGGUGAGGAUGACGUCAAGUCCGCAUGGCCUUUAUGUCCAGGGCUACACACGUGCUACAAUGGUCGGUACAGAAGGCAGCGAAGCCGCAAGGUGAAGCAAAUCCCCAAAAACCGAUCUCAGUUCAGAUUGUAGUCUGCAACUCGGCUACAUGAAGUUGGAAUUGCUAGUAAUGGCGUGUCAGCAACAACGCCGUGAAUACGUUCCCGGGCCUUGUACACACCGGAGUA